rnacentral:rRNA from 1 species
AACGCGAAGAACCUUACCCACCUUUGACAUGUACGGAAGUGACCAGAGAUGGACAUGUGCUCGAAAGAGAACCGUAACACAGGUGCUGCAUGGCUGUCGUCAGCUCGUGUCGUGAGAUGUUGGGUUAAGUCCCGCAACGAGCGCAACCCUUGCCAUUAGUUGCUACGAAAGGGCACUCUAAUGGGACUGCCGGUGACAAACCGGAGGAAGGUGGGGAUGACGUCAAGUCCUCAUGGCCCUUAUAGGUGGGGCUACACACGUCAUACAAUGGCUGGUACAAAGGGUUGCCAACCCGCGAGGGGGAGCUAAUCCCAUAAAGCCAGUCGUAGUCCGGAUCGCAGUCUGCAACUCGACUGCGUGAAGUCGGAAUCGCUAGUAAUCGUGGAUCAGAAUGUCACGGUGAAUACGUUCCCGGGCCUUGUA